UAAAAGUCAGGCCAAUUUGGCUGGUCCUAAGGAGACAGGGCAACGUUCCUCUCUAGCCCUUGAAGAUCUUCAAGCCAGUAAUUGUCUUGACUCUGGGUGAUUCUAGAACAAAAACAGAAUUUUACCCCAUUCUGAUCCAGCUGGAGCAAGCACAGAACUUUGGAACCAGACCUAUCUCAUCUUACUUACUCAUGCCCGUGUGUAAGACCAGAAUGACUCCUUUUCUAUGAAAAUGUACCGGCUGAGGAACCAGGCUCAAACCCCACAUUCCACAUCCUGUGGAAGUCCAAAGCCCUGCUGGGAUUUCCGGGAGUCCCAGGCAACUUCCGUUCUUGUGAUCGCCUCCGGCUCCUGGCUUCUGUUUCUGGGCUGCUGCCUCAGUUCUACACUGUUUCAACCCAAAUGGGAAAUGUGGACCCUUCCUCGAUUAUCACCAAAAACCUUAUUCAUAAUACUCCUGCACCAUUGUAGAAAAUAUCACGGAAGCUAGAGGAGGGGUGGAGUAAAGGAAUAGUUCCUCACAUUACUGAGGUACAAAAUCCUCAAACUGUAUACUGAUUCAUCCUGCAUCUUAAAAUAUUCUUCAGCCAUCUCCUCUCCAACAAGGAAAGUUGGUGGUCUUCAUGGGAGCGAGUCCUCAGUCUCACUCCAUCUCGAAGUUUCCUCCCUCCCCUUCCGUCCUCGCGCCUCUUUUUCACUCCUCAGAUUACCUCUGGGAAUCCCAAAUCUUAGAAAUCCGUUAUACAGGGUCAUUUGAUUCCCCAGCAAAACUUGUCCCCUGAGGGGUGCACUUCAAAUUCAGCUCCAGGAGUUCAGCAUUUUUAUCUUUUGGGAAGAUAAAAGAAAAAUACUUUUCCCUUGUGUUAAAAAUGGCAACAUUCAUUGAACUCUUACAAUAAUAAAUAGUAAUAUUGAUAAAGAAUUGACUCUGUGCCAGGCACGGUGCAUUUUAUGUGCCUUAUCCCAUUUAAAAAUCAAAAUAUCAUCAGGUGUUGGCGCUGUCCCUCCACCCCACCCAGGCCUAGGGUAGCCGGUCCAGCUCCCAGCUGGCUGAACCCAUCACAACCCACCUGGCCAAUCCACUCUGAGUUUCAGCCUGCAAAUGUCCACCAGCUCGGGGGCUUUGCUGCUUUUGCUUUUCACCAGGUCAUUCACCUAACCCAGGAUUUUUUAACUUUGGCACUCUUGCCAUUUGGAGCCAGGAAAUCCUUUGUUUUGGGGGCUGUCCUGUGCAUUGCAGGAGGUGAUGCUAGGUUAAGAGAAGCUUGUUAUUUUUAAUGGCAUUCCCUGGAAGAAUAUAAACCCAGCAACCUUUUAAAAAAAUUUAUUUAUUUAUUUAUGCUAGUUCAUAGAAAAUCAAAAGUCUGAGAACCUUUGGCCCCAGCUCUGAAAAUCUGUAAUUUGGAGUAUGUUUUUGAAGGAAGAACUUGUACUUAGCCUGCCUGCUGACCUUUUAAUGAGUUUUAAAUAACGUCAUUGAUUAAGCUGCCCCAACAGCCUUCCUGUGAAGUAUUCACCUCAAGAGUAAAGGCAGUUGAAUGCUGGAAGAUGAGAUGCAUGCAAGACUAGCAUUCUCACCAACUAGGAAGAGGCGUGGAUCACUUCAGCUCCGAAACUCUGAAUCCUUUCUGGUGACCAUCAAAUAGGAUGAGAAAGCCAAAGCAUGUGAAUAUGGAAAGUUUAUAUAAAUUCAUGGUCUUCGUUCUCAUUUGGAACCUCAAGACAACCCAGACAUUUUUCUCCAUCACCCGAGCCAGCAUCAACUUGAUACCCAGACUCACUCAUUUGGUUCAGAACUCAGGUACAGAAGAGGAGUCUUACUGAUUGAUCUCUAAACAUCUCUACAUUAUUUUUCACCCCUAAGUGAUUAAACAUUACUGAAA